rnacentral:rRNA from 1 species
CCUACGUGGGGCUGCAGUGGGGAAUAUUGGACAAUGGGCGAAAGCCUGAUCCAGCCAUGCCGCGUGUGUGAAGAAGGCCUUCGGGUUGUAAAGCACUUUCAGUGGGGAAGAAAGCCUUGGGGCUAAUACCCUCGAGGAAGGACAUCACCCACAGAAGAAGCACCGGCUAACUCCGGGCCAGCAGCCGCGGUAAUACGGAGGGUGCGAGCGUUAAUCGGAAUUACUGGGCGUAAAGCGCGCGUAGGCGGUCUGAUAAGCCGGUUGUGAAAGCCCCGGGCUCAACCUGGGAACGGCAUCCGGAACUGUCAGGCUAGAGUGCAGGAGAGGAAGGUAGAAUUCCCGGUGUAGCGGUGAAAUGCGUAGAGAUCGGGAGGAAUACCAGUGGCGAAGGCGGCCUUCUGGACUGACACUGACGCUGAGGUGCGAAAGCGUGGGUAGCAAACAGGAUUAGAUACCCGGGUAGUC